rnacentral:antisense_RNA from 1 species
CUUCAGCGAACCCAGCCACAGCGGGGUUUCGCGGUCCUGGCCGUAGGUGGCCAGCAGCGCCUGGGCUUC